rnacentral:rRNA from 1 species
UAUCUCUGUAGAGUCUGCAUAUCAAUAAGCGGAGGAAAAGAAACUAACAAGGAUUCCCCUAGUAACGGCGAGUGAAGCGGGAAGAGCUCAAAUUUGAAAUCUUAAAGGGUUUCCCUUUACGAAUUGUAGUUUAAAGAAGUGUUUUCUGUUGAGGUUUUGGUAAAAGUUCUUUGGAAUAGGACAUCAUAGAGGGUGAGAAUCCCGUAUUUGACCUUUACUUUCAACUUUGUGAUACACUUUCAAAGAGUCGGAUUGUUUGGGAAUGCAGUCCAAAAUGGGUGGUAAAUUUCAUCUAAAGCUUAAUAUUGGCGAGAGACCGAUAGCGAACAAGUACCGUGAGGGAAAGAUGAAAAGAACUUUGAAAAGAGAGUUAAACAGUACGUGAAAUUGUCAAAAGGGAAGCGUUUGACACCAGUGUUGUUUUUCUGAAAAUCAAUUAAAGAACUGUUUAUGCUAAGUUGUUUAGACUUUAUCAGCUAACUGUUUAGUUUUGAGCUUUUCUUUAAUGCACUUUUCAGUUAACAAGUCAACAUCAAUUUCUUUUGCUGUAAAAAAGCUUGAGGAAGGUGGCUUGCGAUUCGUAUAAGUGUUUAUAGCCUCUUGCCUCUGCAGUCGGAGAGAUUGAGGUCUGCAGCGUAGAUCCUUCGGGGUUAGAUAGCAUUUGUGCUAAGUUAUAGCCUUUCAUAGACAACUUGUUGACUAUGAUCAGUCAUGUAGCUUACUCGCUUAUGCUAUUUUACCUACGCUUAGGAUGUUGACGAUCAGCUGAGCGCG